rnacentral:rRNA from 1 species
AGGGCACCACCAGGAGUGGAGCCUGCGGCUUAAUUUGACUCAACACGGGAAAACUCACCCGGCCCGGACACUGGAAGGAUUGACAGAUUGAGAGCUCUUUCUUGAUUCAGUGGGUGGUGGUGCAUGGCCGUUCUUAGUUGGUGGAGUGAUUUGUCUGGUUAAUUCCGAUAACGAACGAGACUCUAGCCUAUUAAAUAGAUCGUUGGCUUACAAACGCCGGCGAGACUUCUUAGAGGGACAGGCGGCGAUUCAGCCGCACGAAACAGAGCAAUAACAGGUCUGUGAUGCCCUUAGAUGUCCGGGGCCGCACGCGCGCUACACUGAAGUGAUCAGCGUGCAUUUUGAAACCUACUCUGUCAAGAGUGGGGAACCCAAUGAACCUUCUUCGUGAUUGGGAUAGGGGAUUGUAAUUAUUCCCCUUGAACGAGGAGUUCCCAGUAAGCGCGAAUCAUAAGUUUGCGCUGAUUACGUCCCUGCCCUUUGUACACACCGCCCGUCGCUACUACCGAUUGAAUGUUU